AGAGUUUGAUCCUGGCUCAGGACGAACGCUGGCGGCGCGCCUAACACAUGCAAGUCGAACGGAGCUGAGAGGAGCUUGCUUUUCUUAGCUUAGUGGCGAACGGGUGAGUAACGCGUGAGUAACCUGCCCUGGAGUGGGGGACAACAGUUGGAAACGACUGCUAAUACCGCAUAAGCCCACGGCCCGGCAUCGGGCUGCGGGAAAAGGAUUUAUUCGCUUCAGGAUGGACUCGCGUCCAAUUAGCUAGUUGGUGAGGUAACGGCCCACCAAGGCGACGAUUGGUAGCCGGACUGAGAGGUUGAACGGCCACAUUGGGACUGAGACACGGCCCAGACUCCUACGGGAGGCAGCAGUGGGGGAUAUUGCACAAUGGGGGAAACCCUGAUGCAGCGACGCCGCGUGGAGGAAGAAGGUUUUCGGAUUGUAAACUCCUGUCGUUAGGGACGAUAAUGACGGUACCUAACAAGAAAGCACCGGCUAACUACGUGCCAGCAGCCGCGGUAAAACGUAGGGUGCAAGCGUUGUCCGGAAUUACUGGGUGUAAAGGGAGCGCAGGCGGACCGGCAAGUUGGAAGUGAAAACUAUGGGCUCAACCCAUAAAUUGCUUUCAAAACUGCUGGCCUUGAGUAGUGCAGAGGUAGGUGGAAUUCCCGGUGUAGCGGUGGAAUGCGUAGAUAUCGGGAGGAACACCAGUGGCGAAGGCGACCUACUGGGCACCAACUGACGCUGAGGCUCGAAAGCAUGGGUAGCAAACAGGAUUAGAUACCCUGGUAGUCCAUGCCGUAAACGAUGAUUACUAGGUGUUGGAGGAUUGACCCCUUCAGUGCCGCAGUUAACACAAUAAGUAAUCCACCUGGGGAGUACGACCGCAAGGUUGAAACUCAAAGGAAUUGACGGGGGCCCGCACAAGCAGUGGAGUAUGUGGUUUAAUUCGA
rnacentral:rRNA from 1 species